GAUGACAAAUUCUCCGGAAUCUCUGCAGCUUCUGUGAUGACUCCAUAUUUGAACCCCUUUCCACCUGAUGACUGUAGACAGCGUUGU